CUGAUGAAGCAUCAUUUCUUAGACUGGUUUGUACCUUAGGGAACUGUGAAAAUAGUGAAGGUUUUAAAGAAAGUUUAUAUAUAUAUAUUUUUUUGGCUUUUUAAAAGAUGUCGUUGGUAAACCUGCUCUCAACAAGGAGAUGACCGGCAGCGGAGACCUCACAAUCCAGCAGUGAAGCCUGCCAGCUGCUGCAGAUGACAGCUCCACACAGGACCUCAGCUGACCUGAAGCAGAAGACUCAGUAAGUAGACCAGCAUCAGUGACCGGGACAGCGUGUACAAUAAGCAGCGGAAGUUAACCCAAGAAGAGAAUCUAGAGGUGUGGAAGAAACAGACAAGGUGUUGCUGUUAGAAGAUAGUGAUCAAGGAUGGAGAUCCAACAGUCUGCGAGUUUCAGAUGUCAGAAGGAACAUGAAGUUAGAGAGACUUCCACGUCCAUCCCUGCGGCCCAUGGUGCAGUGCUGCAUCUCUGGUCAGUUGGUAGUCUGAGAUGAAGCACUGUAGCUCGGGACGAAGGACAGAAUUCCCAGCCUGAGCCAGGCAGCAGCAUCCGGCAGGGGAGAAUGAUACGAAACAAAGGGCCAUGACGCAGAAGGAGACUGUGCUUACAGACAUUUAGAGAGGAUCAGUCAGCCAAGAUUUUAGAUGAGAACGGACCGUUCAGGUUUUCCAUUUGUAGGGAAGUUGUUUCACUUAUCAUCAAUUAUUUUCUCUCCAGAGAAACCGCUCUGGUGGUGCCGUGGUUAGUAUGGCAGCCUCACAGUAGGAGGGUUCUUGGUUCGAACCCUGGCUAGGGCCUUUCUGUGUCAGCGGGCAUGCUGUCCCUGUGCAUCUGUGGCUUUUAUCAUGGUAUCCAGGUUGUGUUAAAUGCCUGUGAAUGGUUGUCUUGUCUUUAUGUUUCAGCCUUGUACUGAACUGGUAAUCUGUACAGUAUGUGCCCUGCCUCACCGCCAGUAUCAACUGGGAUAAAAUCCUGUCGCCUGCAACCCUUCAAAAUAUAAGCUAGUAUAGAUCAUGAAUGGAACAUAUCAAUUUCUUUGAAAUGCAUGCUAUCAAAUAUUUAAAUACAAAUUUAGAUAAAUUAAGUUUACCACCUGUAAUCAAUCACAUAACCCCAUGUGCCUUAUCUCAGGAUUUAGGUGUUUGGAUUGGUAUCACCAGAUGAGUCUGAGAAAAAUAGAGAAAUUACCUUUUUAAGAGUUCUUAUGGGGAAGUAUGUCCUAUGGGCUGUAUGAAAACCACAGCUAAACCUCUGCUUGUCAAGAAUGUGAGCUAUUGGUGUUGAUGUGAUGACGGGCAGAUUCCAUCAUUCUUAUCCUCUCUCCUAGGGUCCAGUUUUCCCAGGAAUCCCUUGACCUAUCAGAAAAGGGGGAUUCCUGGAAAUACUGUUCUUGGGGGCGGGGCCUAUCAGCAAUUCCAUGCACAAUAUUAUACCAAAAGUAAAUGUGGUUGUGCAAUAAUGUUCUAGGUUAUCAUCAAUAUUGAUUCACUGACUGAUUUACAGUUUUGAAACAAUAGAAACUAAUCAUUGAUUUCUCAAAGCCAUAUGUCAUAUGAUCAGACGGUUUAAAUGGGUUCCCUUCCCCCAUCCUCACCGCUGAGGGGCAGCAAUGUCUAUAUUCUGUGUAAAAUGUAUGAUUACGGUUCACUGUUGAAUAAACAUUCAAAUAAAUAUU